rnacentral:lncRNA from 1 species
GUCUUCUGAAACUCACAUUGGAGAAACAGCCAUAUGAGGGAUUUGGAGAUGAGGAAUGGGGUUUCUUCAAUAUUCAGGCAAGAGUUUAUGAGCAGGAACCAUUGCUUAAGAAAUACUCACCAUCAAGCAGAAUCAUGAGGGACAGAGCACCAUGAACUCAGGGAGCAAAGAGAACACUGUGGGGGUAUUCUUAGGGAUGGAAUCUCCACAUCAAAUCUAUUGGCAAGACCUGGAUGUUCUUGGAAAUGUGAAACAUUGAAAAUGUUGAACAUUAAUCUUCUCCUCAUCUCCAGUAUCAACACCCAACUGAGGCCACCAUCAUUUCUUGGGUUUGGGUGGACAAUUGCAACAGCCACCUAUGACU